rnacentral:rRNA from 1 species
GGGAAUCUACCCAGUUCUACGGAACAACAGUUGGAAACGACUGCUAAUACCGUAUACGCCCUACGGGGGAAAGAUUUAUCGGAAUUGGAUGAGCCCGCGUAAGAUUAGCUAGUUGGUGGGGUAAUGGCCUACCAAGGCGACGAUCUUUAGCUGGUCUGAGAGGAUGAUCAGCCACACUGGGACUGAGACACGGCCCAGACUCCUACGGGAGGCAGCAGUGGGGAAUAUUGGACAAUGGGCGCAAGCCUGAUCCAGCCAUGCCGCGUGAGUGAUGAAGGCCUUAGGGUUGUAAAGCUCUUUCACCGAUGAAGAUAAUGACGGUAGUCGGAGAAGAAGCCCCGGCUAACUUCGCGCCAGCAGCCGCGGUAAUACGAAGGGGGCUAGCGUUGUUCGGAUUUACUGGGCGUAAAGCGCACGUAGGCGGUUUGUUAAGUCAGGGGUGAAAUCCCAGAGCUCAACUCUGGAACUGCCUUUGAUACUGGCAAGCUAGAGUCCGGAAGAGGUAAGUGGAACUCCUAGU